GCCUCGAUGGUGCAGCGAUAGAGCACGCGCCCCCGGAUAGAAUGAAACGCGGGUUCGAUUCCUGCCUGAGGUC